rnacentral:rRNA from 1 species
AUACGUAGGGGGCGAGCGUUGUCCGGAAUUACUGGGCGUAAAGGGUGCGUAGGCGGCAUGUUAAGUUGGAUGUGAAAUACCCGGGCUCAACCUGGGGGGUGCAUUCAAAACUGGCAAGCUAGAGUGCAGGAGAGGGAAGCGGAAUUCCUAGUGUAGCGGUGAAAUGCGUAGAUAUUAGGAGGAACACCAGUGGCGAAGGCGGCUUUCUGGACUGUAACUGACACUGAGGCGCGAAAGCGUGGGGAGC